CACCUCCCAGGUUCAAGCGAUUCUCCUGCCUCAGCCUCCUGAGUAGCUGGGAUUACUGCCAUUCACCACCAUGCCUCGCUAAUCUUUGUAUCUUUAAUAGAGAUGGGGUUUCACCAUUUGAGUCAGGCUGGUCUCGAACUCCAGACCUCGUGAUCCGCCCACCUGGUCUUUCCAAAGUGCUUGGAUUACAGGCGUGACCCAUGGCACCCAGCCUAUGAUGAGUCAUAGUGAACUUUGUCAUAACGAAGUAUUUGUCCUUUCCUGUUGAGAACACUGAAAGAUUAGGGCAUGUAGCGCUAGCUUUUGGCAGGAUUCCUUCAGAGGUGGUGGCAUGUUCUUCCAUCUAGAGGCAGGACCUGCAAAUACAACUGAUAAUCCUGAAGACAUACCACCUGUGGAACGCCUGACCCAGGAAACAUUACUUCUUUGGGAAAAAAUUGCUUCAGUAGAAUCCCAGGGUCAAGAAAUUUCAGGAAACCAAAGACAACAAUUGCUGCUGAUGCUAGAAAAAGAUUAGUAGAUGAACAGAGUCAGCUCAGUGAGGACUUAGACGCAAAGAGACAGCUCUCUAGCAGUCUGGUGAAGUUCCAUGCUUAUCCAGAGAGCCUGCCAACUUUCAAACUAGAACUUCCACCAUCAUCCCUCCUGGUCCUCAGGCCUUCAGUCUCCAGCAGCAGCUAUACUAUCAGCUCUCCUGGGUCUCCAGCUUGCUGCCUGCAGAUCUUGGGGCUUCUCAGCCUCCAUCAUCACAUAAAUCAAUUUCUUCUAAUAAAACUUUUUCUGGCAUCUAUAAA